rnacentral:lncRNA from 1 species
CGCUAAGAUGCUCCCGAUGGCCCCGCCUCUGAUCUGCUCCUCUUGUUCUGUGCCAUGAGAUGUUGAAGCCUAUAUUGAAUCAUUAGCAAGUAUCCUUCGCUCCGGCGGCCUUUCUCUUCCCAGUCCUCGAGACACAUUCCGCUUUUCUUAUCUCCAAUCCAUAAGUUAAGCUCUCCCAAAUCGCUUCUCAAGCUUUCUAAUUCUUGAGCUACGCUCUCGAGGGCGUACUUAUCCUUCUCUUGCUUUCGGAGAAAUUCCUCGUGCAUUUCCUGGGCUUCUCUCCUUACCUCUCUUAGUUC